rnacentral:rRNA from 1 species
AAAUAUACGCUUUUCUCUAAGACUAAGCCAUGCACNUUUAAGUUCAUACGUAGUAANACGUGAGACUGCGGYCGGCUCAGUAAAUCAGUYAUCAUCUAUUUGAUUGUCUACCCAUUGGAUAACCGUGGGAAAUCUAGAGCUAAUACAUGCAGUCUUGGGAUAGCGUAAGUUGUCUCACGGCAUUUAUUGGACAAAACCYACUACCGACGUAGCAGUUUGCUGUUGCGACGCGUNYGGUGAYUCUAGAUAACUUUGCUGAUCGUAUUGGCCUAGUGCCGGCGACGUUUCAAUUGAAUUUCUGYCCCUAUUAACUUGUUGGUAGRAUAGUUGCCUACCAARGUUCCGACGGGUGACGGGGAAUCAGGGUUCGAUUCCGGAGAGGGAGCCUGAAAAACGGCUACCACAUCCAUGGAAGGCAGCAGGCGCCCAAAUUACCCYAUCCYAGANACCGGGAGGUGGUGACGAGNAAGUACUAAGUGGUGGCCCUUAGGGUCGCUAGCUUGGRAUGGACGUAYUUUAAGUAAUUCGAUGAGUAACAACUGGAGGGCAAGUCUGGUGCCAGCAGCCGCGGUAAUUCCAGCUCCAGUAGCGUAUUUUAAAGUUGCUGCGUUUAAAACGCUCGUAGUUGGAUCACGCAGUGUAAGUUGGUAAGCUGAUUGAAUGGUGCUCCAACUGUUUYGGUGAUAAAUUUCUAUUUAUUACUAAAACAGUGUGCCUUCUUUCAGUUAUUCGCCAAUUUACACUACUUACGCGUAAGGAUGGCAGUUGACCUUUAGUGCGUCGAUUGCCGUGUCUUACGGAGUGUGCCUUGAAUAAAUCAGAGUGCUCAAAGCAGGCUUUUGCUUGAAUGUUAAUAGCAUGGAACGAACAAUUGUGUAGUAGUAUGUUGUGACACAUAGCGAUCGGUCUUUGACUGAAUGCUAUUGCUGUUGCAGCAUACAGCACCAACCACCAAUAACGGAUGUUGGYUCCGUAUUGGGGUGAUYAAUUAAAARGAGCGGNUGGGGGCAUUGGUAUUUGGCCNCGAGAGGUGAAAUUCUUAGACCGGCCAAGGACUAACGAAUGCGAAGGCAUUGUCCUAGACCCCCUCGCUUAAUCAAGAACGAUAGUGGGAGGUUCGAAGACGAACAGAUACCGUCCUAGUUCCCACUGUAAACUAUGCCGACCCAGGAUCAGCAUCGAAGCUCUAUAUAUGCUUGAUGUUGGUCCCCCUGGGAAACCUCAAGUUUUUCGGUUACGGGGAGAGUAUGGUCGCAAGGCUGAAACUUAAAGGAAUUGACGGAAGGGCACCACCAGGAGUGGAGCCUGCGGCUUAAUUUGACUCAACACGGGAAAACUUACCAGGUCCGGACAUCAAUAGGAUAGACAGACUGAUAGAUCUUUCUUGAUAUGAUGGAUAGUGGUGCAUGGCCGUUCUUAGUUCGUGGAGUGAUCUGUCAGGCUAAUCCCGGUAACGAACGAGAUCUUAUUCUCCAUUUGAUGAGCGGAAGCAGAUGGUGGCUUGAAAUUGUCUCGAUGAAAUYCAAGUUAUCAUCGAAGGCAGUGUUUUCGAGUUUAUUGUUGAAAUAUAAAGAGUUGCGAGAACGGUCUUACCCCCAUAUCUGGUAGCAAUUGGUACUAAAUGUAAAUUUGNNGGCAUUCCCUUCCUUAAUAACUGUUCUACUURCCAAAGUGGAGCAGUGUGUCAUGGAGAGACUGUGAGGAAUAUAUCCAAGCUCAAUGAAGCUAGGCCAUAACAGGUCUGUGAUGCCCUAAGAUGUCCUGGGCUGCACGCGCGCUACAAUGAUGGUGACAGCAAGUUUCUAGGUCGAGAGACCCGGGCAAUCUUGUAAUCACCAUCGUGAUGGGGAUUGACCAUUGUAAUUUGGUCAUGAAAUAGGAAUUCCCUUGUAGGCACACUUUAUUAGAGUGUGCCGAACGAGUCCCUGCCCUCUGUA